AUGACGAAGCUCAAGAGCCUGACGUCGUCGGUGGGGAAGGGGGAGAGCGCGGGGAGUGCUCGGCAGAUUGCCGGGUCGCCGAUGAAGCUGCUGGUGCGCGUUCUCGAGGCGCGCGGCCUGCUGCCGGUGCACCUCAACGGCUCCAGCGACCCCUUCGUCAAGCUGCAGCUCGGCAAGCGCCGCGCCAAGACGGCCGUCGUCAAGAAGAGCCUCACCCCCGCCUGGGACGAGGAGUUCAGCUUCCUCGUCGGCGACGUCACCGAGGAGCUCUCCGUCUCCGUGCUCAACGAGGACAAGUACUUCACCAACGACCUCCUCGGCAAGGUCAAGGUGCCGCUCUCCAAGGUCAUGGAGGCCGAGGACUUCAACCUCGGCACCGCCUGGUACCAGCUCCAGCCCAAGAGCAAGAAGUCCAAGAAGAAAGAACGCGGGGAAAUUUGCCUGCGCAUAUCCUUGUCUACACGCUCGCACGUGUCUGAAGAAUCGCACCAGCAACAACCCACUUCGGAUGGCGCAGCAUCCAGUUCAGACAGGUCAAUUGGGAACAAAGAUGGAACUUUGUCAACCAGCAAUAGCUACAUUGACAUGUCAGCCCUUGCCAGUUUGGACCGAUCAUCACAGGGAAGUAUGGAACGAUUAGGGGAUGGUGCUGUGGACCAACCGCCCGGGACCAGCAUUGACCAAGCAGUCACUGAACCUGGAACCGCUGUUUCUAAUGAUGCGAUGGCGAAUACGUCGUCGGUGGUAGAGGUCUUGUCUCGCUAUUUCUUUGGGAAACCUGCUGAUACUAAUCUGCCUUCCAUCGUUGCCUCUGACGCUGAGUCAGUGGUGGAGCAGUCCGAAGAGCCAAAAGUUUGCUCUGUAGACCGUGAAAGUCCCGAGAAUGGCACGCCAUCUGAGUCAAACCUUGAUGAGCUACUGAAAAUCAUGGAGUCCAAAGAUCAAGGCUGUGAAAUGCCAGCAAAACUGGCUAACGGCGUUCUAGUUGAUGAAUCUUAUGUUAUUGCACCAGCUGGACUGAAUUCCCUCUUGUUUUCUCCAAAUUCAGAUUUCUGGCCAGCAGUAGCAGAGCUUCAAGGAACAAGUGGAUUUCAGAUUGAACCAUGGAAGAUCGAUAGCAACGAUGGUUGUUUGCGAAGAACAUUAAGUUACAUAAAAGCCGCUAGUAAGCUGGUUAAAGCUUGCAAAGCCACAGAAGAGCAGAAAUACUUAAAAGCAGCUGGGAAUUCUUUCGCUGUUUUGUCUAUUGUUAGCACACCUGAUGUUCCUUAUGGCAGUUGUUUCAAGAUAGAGAUAUUGUACUGUAUAACGCCAGGUCCCCACUUAUCAUCUGAAGAGCAAACAGCACAUCUUACUGUAAGUUGGCGGAUCAACUUUCUUCAGAGCACAAUGAUGAAAGGAAUGAUUGAGAGUGGUGCAAAACAAGGCAUGUCAGAAGGUUAUGCACAAUUUUCUGAUGUACUGUCCCAAAGGUUUAAAGUAGCUGAGCUUGAUGAUGCCAAUUCAAACAAAGAAAAGAUUUUAGCCUCACUACAAGCACAUAAAGAACCAAGCUGGAGGUUGAUUGUCCGCUUCCUUGGGAACUUCACAUUCAUAUUCUCUGUUAUCAUAGGGAUAUAUGUUAUAGUUCACCUUCAUUUAUCAAGGCCCAAAGUGAUGAAUGGGCUUGAAUAUUUUGGCAUUGACCUUCCAGAUUCAAUUGGAGAGGUUGUAGUUUGUGCUGUCUUGAUCCUUCAGGGACAGACCAUCCUGAAAGUAAUAAAGCGCUUCUUGAAUGCAUGGAGACAAAGAGGUAGUGAUCAUGGAGUCAAAGCUCAUGGAGAUGGCUGGUUACUGACUGUUGCACUUAUUGAGGGUACUGGUAUACUAUCUGCUGGUUCAUCUCAACCAUUUGACCUAUAUGCUGUUUUUACCUGCAACACGAAGAGGAAAACAAGCUCAAUUAAAUUCCACACAUCUGAUCCAAAAUGGAACGAGAUAUUCGAAUUUGAUGCAAUGGAUGAUCCACCAUCAAGGAUGGAUGUAGCUAUUCAUGACUCGAAUCAAUUAGAUGAAGCUCCCAUUGGUCACGCCGAAGUGAACUUCCUGAAGAGCAAUUUGUCAGAUUUAAUGGACAUAUGGGUUCCUCUUGAUGGGAAGUGUGAUCCAGCAAGCAACCCUAAGCUACAUUUGAGAAUAUUUUUGAACAACUCGAGAGGAACUGAAGUUGUUCUGAAUUACCUGGCAAAGAUGGGGAAUGAAGUCGGUAAGAAGAUAAAUUUGCGGUCAGCACAAACAAAUUUAGCAUUCCGAAAGCUCUUUAACCUCCCUCCUGAAGAGUUCCUCAUCGAUGAUUUCACCUGUCAUCUAAAACGGAAGAUGCCACUUCAGGGACGAGUAUUUUUUUCUCCAAGAAUAAUUGGAUUCUACUCUAAUAUAUUUGGUCACAAGACCAAGUUUUUCUUUCUGUGGGAAGACGUUGAUGAUAUCCAGGUUAUCCCUCCUACACUGUCAAUUGGCAGCCCAUCCUUGAUGGUUAUCCUUAGAAAGGAUAGAGGGUCAGAAGCAAAACAUGGUGCCAAGGCAACAGAUCAUCAUGGAAGACUCAAGUUCCAUUUUCAGUCCUUUGUUUCGUUCAAUGAUGCUCACAGAAUAAUCAUGGGGAUCUGGAAAAUGCGAUCACCGGGUCAAGAACAGAAGGGAGAGGUAAUUGAGGAGUCUGAACCAAAAGAACUCCAGGCGGAAGAAUGUGGAUCCUUAUUUACCCAUGAGGAUGUCAAAAUGUCCGAAAUAUUCUCAUCAGUUCUUUCUGUGGACGUUGAGUCCUUGAUGGAGAUGUUUUCAGGAGGUCAGUUGGAACAGAAAGUGAUGCAAAAGACUGGCUGUCUGGACUACUCAUCAACAGAAUGGGAACUUGUAGGCAGAAAUAUAUACAAGCGGCAAAUCAGCUACAAGUUUGACAAAGCAUUGUCUCGAUAUGGAGGAGAAGCAAGCACCACUCAGCAGAAGUAUGCCCUAGUGAACCAAGAUGGCUGGGCCAUUGAAGAGGUGAUGACCCUCCAAGGUGUUCUACUUGGGGACUUCUUUAAUCUCCAGCUAAAGUAUCAUAUGGCGAACAUACCAUCAAAACCAAACACCUGCAACGUGCAGGUCUUGUUGAGGAUUGCCUGGUUAAAAAGCACCAAGCAACAAAAGAAGAUCACAAAAAAUAUCAUGUCCAACACCUCAAAUAGAUUGAAGGAGCUCUUUUCCGAAGUCGUAAAGGAUCUUACGUCAAGAAACGGUUGA
rnacentral:rRNA from 1 species